rnacentral:lncRNA from 1 species
GGAAACGGUCUCUGCAUAAAGAUACUCUGCUGCAUCAUUUAUAAAAAGAAAAAUUGAAAACAGCCUAAAAGCACAAUAGACGAUUCAAAUGAUCUAUGGUUCACAUACCUGUGAGGGUUUUAUAGAGAUGCUGAAACGCUGCUUAGAAGAGAGAAACACACAUGUCAACAACGUGAAGUGAAAAAAAAGAAACAAGAUUAAAAACUGUGUCUGCACGGGCUGUCCCCUUCUCCUCCAUUCCCGGAUAAGCCUUCACUCACCUCUGCACCUCACCAGCAUCCACUCAGAGAGACCCAGCCCCUCAAACCCAGCCAGCAGGGACCACGCUGCACAUUAAGUUUGCUCAACUGCUCCAGAGCGUGGCCUUGAGGAUGUUCCUUCACCUCUCUGAGCUUCAGGCUCCUCACCUGUACAAUGAAGACAGCACCUGCCUCAUGGAUUUGCUAAUAUAUGCAAAAUGCAUAGCUUGCUGCCUGGAAGAUAAUAAGUACCCAAAUGUUAGCUGUUUUUAUUUUUCGCUCAAUUUUCUACAUAUAAACAUGUCAUUGUGCUCCGUGCUGGGGAUAUGGCAGUGACAGCUAAACUCCAGAAGAGAAAGAUUAAACCAACACUCA